ensembl:lncRNA LINC00293 long intergenic non-protein coding RNA 293
CCAGGACAUGUGCAGGAUGCCAUGAUGGUCCAAGUUAUAUUGGGAUUCAGCCAAUAGAAGAUAUUUUGCCUGUCAUCCCUAAGCUUAGGACAAUAGGGUCCUGCCCACAAGAAAGAUUGUGACAUCUCACUGGACAAGCACCCACCCAGGUAAUGUGACUCUACAUUCCUGCCUGGGUCCUGCUCACCAAAGAAAUUGUGACUUACCGCUGAUUGCAAACCCUAAAUGAUGUGACUGUCCUUCAUAUUCUAGACUCUGCCAAGAGAGGGGAUUAUUACAUAUUGCAGAGCCCAGCACCUAGGUGGAGUGACUCUCAUCUUUUUCUUCUACCCCGUAUAUAGCCAGCUUGGUGACCUACUAUUUGAGUCUAUACCCAGGCCCAGACCACAGAUGAAAUUGUGCAAUAUGUGGAACAAACACCUAAACAAUAUAUAACACCUUCCUUGGCUCUGUCUACAAAGGGCACUUUUAUAUAUCACUGGGACCAUCAACCAGGUGAUGUUGUGCCAUAUAACUGAGACCGUAUCAAAAGCCUAAUAACAAGACGUAUGUCUGGAGCCCCGAUAUGCACAGGAUGGUGAUAUAACCCUCUUCUCUGGAAUGGGCCCCACACAAAGGAAGGAUAGUGACAUAUUGCAAGCCCAGGCACACAGGCCCAGAGCACAGUUGAAAUUGUGACAUAUGUACACCAAGCAACCAAGCAAUGUAUAACACCUCAUUUGGCAAUGGAAUCGAGGGCACUUUUACAUAUCACUGAGACCAGCGCCCAGCUGAUGUGAAAUAUUGGCCUGAACCCUGCCUACAAAAGCAUUGUGGCUUUUAUCUAGCUCCAUUACAUAAGUGAUGUGACUUCCUUCUACUGCCUUGGCCCUGCACUUAUGGUGAAUCGUGACACAAAAUUGGGUAGAGCAACCAGCCUGGGCCCUGACCAGCACAGAGAUUGAGGCAUAUUGCUGAACCCAGGACCAAGAUGAAGUCACUCUCCUGCCUUGAUCCUGCACACAGGGACCCUUGUGACAUAUAUACAGGCCAAUUGCCUAGGUGAUGUUGUGCAAUAUACCUGAGACCAGAUCAAUGGCCUAAUAAUGACUCUUUUACCUAGAGCCAGGA